AACGAACGCUGGCGGCAGGCUUAACACAUGCAAGUCGAACGCCCCGCAAGGGGAGUGGCAGACGGGUGAGUAACGCGUGGGAAUCUACCUAGUUCUACGGAACAACAGAGGGAAACUUCUGCUAAUACCGUAUACGACCUAAGGGGGAAAGAUUUAUCGGAAUUAGAUGAGCCCGCGUAAGAUUAGCUAGUUGGUGGGGUAAUGGCCUACCAAGGCGACGAUCCUUAGCUGGUCUGAGAGGAUGAUCAGCCACACUGGGACUGAGACACGGCCCAGACUCCUACGGGAGGCAGCAGUGGGGAAUAUUGGACAAUGGGCGAAAGCCUGAUCCAGCCAUGCCGCGUGAGUGAUGAAGGCCUUAGGGUUGUAAAACUCUUUCGCCGGGGAAGAUAAUGACGGUACCCGGAGAAGAAGCUCCGGCUAACUUCGUGCCAGCCGCCGCUGUAACAC
rnacentral:rRNA from 1 species